rnacentral:rRNA from 1 species
UUUUCCGGUUGAUCCUGCCAGAGGUUACUGCUAUUGGUGUUCGACUAAGCCAUGCAAGUCAUAUGUUCCUCGUGAACAUGGCAUACUGCUCAGUAACACGUGGAUAACCUGCCCUUGGGUCUGGGAUAACCCCGGGAAACUGGGGAUAAUACCGGAUAACGCAUAUGUGCUGGAAUGCUUUAUGCGUAAAACGGAUUCGUCCGCCCAAGGAUGGGUCUGCGGCCUAUCAGGUAGUAGUGGGUGUAAUGUACCUACUAGCCAACAACGGGUACGGGUUGUGAGAGCAAGAGCCCGGAGAUGGAUUCUGAGACAUGAAUCCAGGCCCUACGGGGCGCAGCAGGCGCGAAAACUUUACAAUGCGGGAAACCGUGAUAAGGGAACACCGAGUGCCAGCAUCAUAUGCUGGCUGUCCAGAUGUGUAAACUACAUCUGUUAGCAAGGGCCGGGCAAGACCGGUGCCAGCCGCCGCGGUAAUACCGGCGGCUCGAGUGGUGGCCGCUUUUAUUGGGCUUAAAGCGUUCGUAGCUGGGUUGUUAAGUCUCUUGGGAAAUCUGGCGGCUUAACCGUCAGGCGUCUAAGGGAUACUGGCAAUCUUGGAACCGGGAGAGGUGAGGGGUACUUCGGGGGUAGGAGUGAAAUCCUGUAAUCCUCGAGGGACCACCUGUGGCGAAGGCGCCUCACCAGAACGGCUUCGACAGUGAGGGACGAAAGCUGGGGGAGCAAACCGGAUUAGAUACCCGGGUAGUCCCAGCCGUAAACUAUGCGCGUUAGGUGUAUCGGUGACCACGAGUUACCGAGGUGCCGAAGGGAAACCGUGAAACGUGCCGCCUGGGAAGUACGGUCGCAAGGCUGAAACUUAAAGGAAUUGGCGGGA